UUCGUUUGGUCAAACCAAACAAAACCCGACUUCAAAAUUCCCGCCAGGAAACGUUGCCUUCGUCUUCUCUCGACUCCGGCGUUGCUCCGCGUCCUCCUCGCCAGAGCCUCCUUCACCAACCUAACACCCACCUUGUUCUUCUCUUCCUUCAAGCCCACCCUCUCUCUCUCUCUCUCUCUCUCUCUCUCUCGCUGUAAAUAUAUUUCUAAUAUGAUGAUUGGCCUGAGAUGGAGCAGCGCCAUCCAUCACUCUUUUUCCUUGCAUCACUCUCUUCUUCGAUCCCUGUCUAAUUUCCCCCUUCCUGUGAGCUCGUAUCCAGCAAACGAUCUCUCUCGCUACACCGCCAGGAUCCAAGAUUUGUGUCGCCUCGGCUACGUAAGCGAAGCACGUAGCGUGUUCGAUACGAUGCCCCACAGAGACACCAUCACCUGGAACUCCAUGAUCUUUGGCUACUCCCUCAACGGCAUGAUGGAUGAUGCCCGGAGGCUCUUUGACGCCUUUGCUGGAAGGAACACACGGACGUGGACCAUCUUGGUUUCUGGUUAUGCCAGAAGUGGCUGCCUCGAGGAGGCCCAGCUCCUAUUCGACUUGAUGCCCGAGCGCAACACGGUUUCCUGGAACGCUUUGAUUAGUGGGUAUGCACAGAAUGGGUAUGUUGGCAUGGCUCGGCGUCUCUUCGAUACGAUGCCGAUGCAUGAUAUUGCAUCGUGGAAUGCUAUCAUCACUGGGUACUGCCAUGCUCAUCAGAUGGUUGAAGCGAAGGAAUUGUUCGAGCAGAUGCACAUGAAGGACUUGGUUUCUUGGACGGUGAUGAUUUCUGGGUAUGUUAUGGUUAAUGAACAUGGAAAGGCUUGGCGGACUUUCCUUAGGAUGCAUCGGGAAGUAGUGAGACCGGACCAGUCUAAUUUCACGGCCGUUAUCUCUGCAGUUGUGGCUCUUGGCAAUCUCAAGCUGCUCGAAAACCUACGUACUUUGGUGAUCAAGACAAAUUUCGAAGGGGAUGUGGUAGUGGGAACAGCUAUUCUGAAUGCUUACACGAAGGAUGGCGGAGGGUUGGAUGAAGCAGUGAAGUUCUUUGAACAAAUGCCAGAGAGGAAUGAGUACUCUUGGUCCACGAUGAUUGCUACCUUUGCACAUACUGGGCUGUUGGAUGAUGCCAUCUCUAUUUACGAGAGGGAUCCUGUGAAGUCCCUUGCCUCCCAAACUGCAAUGUUGACUGGCUAUGCUCAGAAUGGCAGGAUAAGUGCAGCAAAAAUCCUUUUUGAACAGAUUCCCAAUCCUAGUGUGGUUUCUUGGAAUGCUAUGAUUGCUGGGUAUGCACAGAACAAUAUGUUAGAUGAAGCAAAGCAGUUGUUUCAUAGGAUGCCCAUGAGGAAUGCAGUCUCAUGGUCUGCGAUGAUUGCUGGUUGUGCGCAGAAUGGAGAGAAUGAAGAAGCUCUGCAUCUUCUGUCGGAACUUCAUAGGCUUGGGAUGUUGCCCAGCCUUUCAAGUUUGACCAGUGGUUUCUUUGCCUCUGGUAAUAUUGGAGCUCUUGAGUUUGGCAGACAACUACACUCGCUUUCUCUAAAAGCAGGUUCUCAGUUCAAUUCUUAUGUUAACAAUGGUUUAAUUACCAUGUAUGCCAAGUGCAAGAACAUUGAAGCUGUGUCUGGCGUUUUCCGGUGGAUGAAAGCAAGAGAUACUGUCUCCUGGAAUUCUUUGAUAACUGCUCUUUCUCAGAAUAACAUGAUGGAGGAUGCACGAAUUGCUUUCGAUAAGAUGUCGAAGCGAGAUGUUGUGUCUUGGACUGCCAUUAUAUCUGCAUAUACACAGGCUGAAAAUUGGAAUGAAGCUUUGAAACUCUUUCUCAAAAUGUUAAACGAAGGAAUACUACCCAACUCUCUGACGAUUACUAGUGUUCUUAGUGCUUGUGGGAGUUUGGCUGCCACAAACCUUGGCCGACAGAUCCAUGGCCUUACAUUUAAAAUGGGCUAUGAUCUGGAACUAUUUGUUGGCAAUGCUUUGAUUACAAUGUACUUUAAGUGUGGCUGUGCAGAUUCGUUUUGGGUCUUCUAUGAGAUGUUUGAGUGUGAUAUAGUUACAUGGAACUCAAUGCUUGCAGGAUGUGCUCAACAUGGUCUUGGAAGGGAGGCCGUGGAGAUUUUUGAGCAAAUGAAGUCUGAACAAGUCCUUCCAAAUGCAGUGACAUUCUUAGUGCUCUUAUGUGCUUGUAGCCAUGGCGGCUUAGUUGAUGAAGGAUGGCACUAUUUCAAGUCAAUGAGCAAAGUUUAUGGAAUCAUGCCAUCAAGAGAGCAUUAUGCUUCUAUGGUUGAUCUUCUAGGGCGGGCUGGUUACUUAUCUGAAGCUGAGGAGUUCAUAGAGAACAUGCCCAUCGAGCCAGACUCUGUGGUUUGGGCUGCACUUCUUGGUGCGUGUAGAAUCCAUCAGAAUGUGGAACUUGGUCGGAGGGUCGCUGAGAGACUGUUUGAUAUGGAUCCACAAGAUUCAGGUAACUAUGUCUUACUCUCUAACUUAUAUGCAUCUCUUGGGUUGUGGGAUGAAGUUGAAGAAGUCAGAAAGUUGAUGAUAGAUCGACAUGUGAUAACAAGGCCAGGUUACAGUUGGACUCAAAUAAAGAAAAAGAUUAAACCUGUCACUGCGAAUAUACAGCAGGAACAUAUUGGCGUGAUUUAUGCUACUAUGAAAGAAUUUUACAAUAACAUGAAAGAUCCAGGUUAUGACUCUGAUUUGAAAUCCCUUAAAUAUGAUGCGGAAGAGGAGGAGGAUGCACAUCUCUACCACAGUUGACUUAGAGGUUACUAUGGCCAAGUUUCACUAAGUCGUGUACAAAAAGAUCAGUGAAAUGAGUAAGAAAUAGCCCUAUAUUUUGUAGAAAAUGCACUAAGAAUUGCUACUGGCAGCAACAACAAUACCAAAAGGAGAACACUACUGAUAAGAUCAUAUAGUUCUUUUUAUUUUAUAAGCUAUGAUGCAGAAUUUCUAGCUUUGUGGGUGGAGAUAUUUUUAACUUUGGAAACACCCAAAAAGAAACAGAGUGAUAUUGCCUCAUGGCAUCCCUUUCUUUCUCAAACUCGAAGUCUUUGAUCUGUAUGUAAGGAGGCAAGAGUAUGGUUUCUGAUGGUUGAAGGCCAAGCCUAUUUGCAAAUUUCUCCUCCGCCUUUCACCUUCUCCUCCUCUGCUUCAAAUUUGUUUUUGCAAUCUCCUACUUCAGACAAUCUCUGUUCAGAAGGAUUCUUCAAUGUUGUUUGAAGAUACUUGGAAAUGCUAUACAGUUUACUGGCAUUACUUUGAAAGCUCUAUCUCAGUGAGCACCAUACAGUUGUCUUACUGGAUACUGCCCUCUCAACAGCUAAGCUUAUGAGGAUGUCAUCACAAAAUAAAAAGAGAAAAGAAGACAAGGUGAAGCAGCUGAAAGUGCAAGCAGCAGGUUGAGGUAGCUCAACCUUUCUACUGGGGCAAAUGCAGAUGGCUGAUGGCAAAUCACCCACUUCAUGGUCAGAUAACCAAGUUCACGUCAGAAAAUGCACAGAACAAAUGCCAACAUCUCAAAAGCUGUCCUUUGUUUGAAAUGCAAAUUUUAUGGAUGCUGUCCUUCUUUCUUGCUCUGGAAAGUCGAUUUCGAUGCAUUUUAGCAUGCUAUACUGGAAAAUGAUAGUUCAGCCACUUCAGUGCCCAAGAAAAAGAAGGUUGAGCUAAUGUUUCAAUUUGUUUCUGAUGAGCAGUAGUCCAUCUUAAGUGAUGGAUAGGAUCCGUGCGAAAAUGUCACGUACCCAAGUUGGCUAUCUAAAUGCUGGUCUCUGAUAGCUAAUCCAAUCAAGGUACCUGUUCAAGUUGAUCAGUGAGCUGCCUUCACUGGUGUCACAUUGCUGCGGUGAAGAAGAAAUGGAGUUCUGUGGGCUCGAAGACCUGAUAGAGCCAAGGUGAAAAAGGACGGGGA